CCCCUCUCAGGGUUGCACCUGGAGAGUUUCCAGUCCUCUACUGGUCUCUGCUACGAGAGGGAGAGUGAAGUAGAGGCCUACCCGUUCCAUUCCUAGCUUGGUCAGUGGCUAGUGAGUCGAAGGCAAUCUGCUACAAGU